AUCCAGAACAUUUGUGGAAAAUGGCUUAGGACUGAAACUGUUCCAAUAAUUUCAAUUUUUAGAACAUUUCAAGGACAAAAUAUGGUUAAAAAUUUCUAAAAAUGUUUUAAAAUGUAGUUCUAGAACACAUCUAGAACGCUUUAAGAACCAGUAAGUUCUACAAAAGUUCUUAUGGGGAAUAAGAACACAUAUAGAACACCUUACACUUACAAAUAGCCAAAUAGACUUCAUAGUAGCGACAGCAGCAGCAGCAGUAGUAGUAGUAGUUGUAGUAGCUGUAUUAGUAGUAGUAGUUGUUGUUGUUGUAGUAGGUGUUGUUGUUGUAGUAAUUGAUGUAGUAGCAGUAGUGUUUUUUAUAUCAGUAGAGGUUGUGGUGGUAGUAGUCAUAGUAGAAGUAGUAGCAUUAACAGUUUCUGUAGCAAUAGUAGUAGCAAUAGAAGUAGCAGUAGUAGCAGUUGUUGCUGUAGUAGCAGUUGUUGCUGCUGCUGUUGCUGCUGUUGUUGUUGCUGCUGCUGUUGUUGCUGCUGUUGCUGCUGUUAUUGUUGCUGUUGUUGUUGGUGGUGGUGUUGUUGAUGCUGUAGUAAUUAAAGUAGUAGUUCUGCAGAACUAGGAGUAGUUGUUACUUUCAAAGCAAUUUCUACAAGUUUAAAUUCCUUAACCCUGUCCAAGUGGUAUACACACUGUUUUUUUCUCAAUAUCAAACUCAGCCAGUCCAGGUUGUCAAAUAACAAUCUAUCUGAUAAGCCAAGCAUGUGUUGUACAUCAGAUGUUGGGUAUGUUUGCUGCAAAUCUAUUGGUUAUAAGAUAUAACAGCCUUUUCUAAUUGGCUGAAUUCAAAUACAGAAAGUUUACCUGUUAGAUUGAAACAUGAAACAUGGUGGACAAUGUACUGGUUUAACUUGUUAAAAUAAAGUUAAAGACAUUUAACAAACAGAAGAGUCAUUAGUUUUUCCAUUAAAAACACUUUCUUAAAAUACUUAUGUAUUUAUAUCAUUUGGAAAGUGACAUGAAAUAUUGCUAAAGAGUGAUGCAUACAGUGUUUGAGCAGUCUGUCUAGGAAUAGAACAACAACUGAAGCUGACCAGUUGAUGGAAGAUACUGCAGAGUUUGGCAGGGAAAUAACCCAAGACAGCAAAGCGGCUCUUUUGGCGCAUUUACCAAGAGGACUAACAUGGCCACAAAUUCAUGAGAUCAUGCAGGAGCCGUACAGUAUAACAGCAGUACAAGUUCUAUAAAAGAUCCACGACCUACUGAAGCCCAGCUAAUUAACAAAAAAGUUUUUAAAAACUGUAAUUUUAUCCCACCUGGGUACUUAUAAUUUACUAAGCUGCCUUCACAAGUUUUAGACUUGCAAUUAUAUUUUAAACUGUCACUUGGAAAGUAAUACAUGUACAUGCAUUAUGUUCUGAAUUUCUUUGAACAAUAAAAUUAUAUAAAAGUAUUUUAAUGAAAUUGAGCACCUAAAUUGCAUUAAAGUGAAAGUAGCUGAGAAAAAUAGUAUCCUUGUGCUCAUGGGCAGCUACAUAUAUUGUGACAAACAUGAAGUAGCUAAAAUAACUUAAAUUUUUCAUUUUGUUUCUUGUAUAUCGUUUGUACAGGGUUCGUGAAUUGUUACUGUAUAUUACUUGACUUGCUUGUAUUUUGUUACUUUGAAUACAUGUUGUUAAGGUUGCAUUAUACUUUUUAACUUUUAAAGUAGCGCCUGUUCUGUUAUGUAAGGGCCUGAUUUAUGAUAAUGGACCUAGAGGCUUUGUAAGCAUGUAUUAAACAACACUUGUUUGAUCUGAAUAAUUUGUUAAAUAAAUGUAACACAAUUUGUAAUCUGAUGUUAUAUUUUGAUGAAUUGUGAACAAAAUAAUACAUCGAAGAAACUAA